rnacentral:rRNA from 1 species
GACGAACGCUGGCGGCGUGCUUAACACAUGCAAGUCGAACGGAAAGGCUCCAGCUUGCUGGAGUACUCGAGUGGCGAACGGGUGAGUAACACGUGGGUAAUCUGCCCUGCACUCUGGGAUAAGCCUGGGAAACUGGGUCUAAUACUGGAUAUGACCUUUCUCCUUAUGGGGUUUGGUGGAAAGUUUUUCGGUGUAGGAUGAGCCCGCGGCCUAUCAGCUUGUUGGUGGGGUGAUGGCUUACCAAGGCGACGACGGGUAGCCGGCCUGAGAGGGUGAUCGGCCACAUUGGGACUGAGAUACGGCCCAGACUCCUACGGGAGGCAGCAGUGGGGAAUAUUGCACAAUGGGCGGAAGCCUGAUGCAGCGACGCCGCGUGAGGGAUGACGGCCUUCGGGUUGUAAACCUCUUUCAGCGGGGACGAAGCGUAAGUGACGGUACCUGCAGAAGAAGCACCGGCUAACUAUGUG